GACGAACGCUAGCGGCAGGCUUAAUACAUGCAAGUCGUGGGGCAGCAGGUUUGUAGCAAUACAGAUGCUGGCGACCGGCAAACGGGUGCGGAACACGUACACAACCUUCCUUUAAGUGGGGAAUAGCCCAGAGAAAUUUGGAUUAAUACCCCGUAACAUUAUGAUGUGGCAUCACAUUAUAAUUAUAGCUACGGCGCUUAAUGAUGGGUGUGCGGCUGAUUAGGUAGUUGGCGGGGUAACGGCCCACCAAGCCUGCGAUCAGUAACUGGUGUGAGAGCACGACCAGUCACACGGGCACUGAGACACGGGCCCGACUCCUACGGGAGGCAGCAGUAAGGAAUAUUGGGAAAUGGAGGAAACUCUGACCCAGCCAUGCCGCGUGGAGGAUGAAGGUCCUCUGGAUUGUAAACUUCUUUUAUAUGGGACGAAAAAGGGUCUUUCUAGGUCAACUGACGGUACCAUAUGAAUAAGCACCGGCUAACUCCGUGCCAGCCGCCGCAGUAAUAC
rnacentral:rRNA from 1 species